rnacentral:rRNA from 1 species
GUGCCAGACUCCUACGGGAGGCAGCAGUGGGGAAUAUUGCACAAUGGGGGAAACCCUGAUGCAGCGACGCCGCGUGAGCGAUGAAGUAUUUCGGUCUGUAAAGCUCUAUCAGCAGGGAAGAAGAUGACGGUACCUGACUAAGAAGCCCCGGCUAACUACGUGCCAGCAGCCGCGGUAAUACGUAGGGGGCAAGCGUUAUCCGGAUUUACUGGGUGUAAAGGGAGCGUAGACGGCGAUGCAAGCCAGAUGUGAAAGCCCGGGGCUCAACCCCGGGACUGCAUUUGGAGCUGUGUGGCUGGAGUGUCGGAGAGGCAGGCGGAAUUCCUAGUGUAGCGGUGAAAUGCGUAGAUAUUAGGAGGAACACCAGUGGCGAAGGCGGCUUACUGGACUGUAAAUGACGCUGAGGCUCGAAAGCGUGGGGAGCAAACAGGAUUAGAUACCCCAGUAC